rnacentral:rRNA from 1 species
AUUGAACGCUGGCGGCAUGCCUUACACAUGCAAGUCGAACGGUAACGGGCCUUCGGGUGCCGACGAGUGGCGAACGGGUGAGUAAUACAUCGGAACGUGCCCGAUCGUGGGGGAUAACGAGGCGAAAGCUUUGCUAAUACCGCAUACGAUCUACGGAUGAAAGCAGGGGACCGCAAGGCCUUGCGCGGACGGAGCGGCCGAUGGCAGAUUAGGUAGUUGGUGGGAUAAAAGCUUACCAAGCCGACGAUCUGUAGCGGGUCUGAGAGGAUGAUCAGCCACACUGGGACUGAGACACGGCCCAGACUCCUACGGGAGGCAGCAGUGGGGAAUUUUGGACAAUGGGCGCAAGCCUGAUCCAGCCAUGCCGCGUGCAGGAUGAAGGCCUUCGGGUUGUAAACUGCUUUUGUACGGAACGAAAAGCCUUCUUUUAAUACAGGAGGGUCAUGACGGUACCGUAAGAAUAAGCACCGGCUAACUACGUG